rnacentral:rRNA from 1 species
CACCUACGGGUGGCUGCAGUGGGGAAUUUUGGACAAUGGGCGCAAGCCUGAUCCAGCAAUGCCGCGUGCAGGAUGAAGGCCUUCGGGUUGUAAACUGCUUUUGUACGGAACGAAAAGGUUCUCUCUAAUACAGGGGGCAUAUGACGGUACCGUAAGAAUAAGCACCGGCUAACUACGUGCCAGCAGCCGCGGUAAUACGUAGGGUGCGAGCGUUAAUCGGAAUUACUGGGCGUAAAGCGUGCGCAGGCGGUUUUGUAAGACAGAGGUGAAAUCCCCGGGCUCAACCUGGGAACUGCCUUUGUGACUGCAAGGCUGGAGUGCGGCAGAGGGGGAUGGAAUUCCGCGUGUAGCAGUGAAAUGCGUAGAUAUGCGGAGGAACACCGAUGGCGAAGGCAAUCCCCUGGGCCUGCACUGACGCUCAUGCACGAAAGCGUGGGGAGCAAACAGGAUUAGAUACCCUGGUAGUCCACGCCCUAAACGAUGUCAACUGGUUGUUGGGGGUUAAUUCACUCAGUAACGAAGCUAACGCGUGAA